rnacentral:rRNA from 1 species
CCUACGGGAGGCAGCAGUGGGGAAUAUUGCACAAUGGGCGCAAGCCUGAUGCAGCAACGCCGCGUGAGGGACGACGGCCUUCGGGUUGUAAACCUCUUUUAGUAGGGAAGAAGCGAAAGUGACGGUACCUGCAGAAAAAAGCACCGGCUAACUACGUGCCAGCAGCCGCGGUAAUACGUAGGGUGCAAGCGUUAUCCGGAAUUAUUGGGCGUAAAGAGCUCGUAGGCGGUUUGUCACGUCUGCUGUGAAAACUGGAGGCUCAACCUCCAGCCUGCAGUGGGUACGGGCAGACUAGAGUGCGGUAGGGGAGAUUGGAAUUCCUGGUGUAGCGGUGGAAUGCGCAGAUAUCAGGAGGAACACCGAUGGCGAAGGCAGAUCUCUGGGCCGUAACUGACGCUGAGGAGCGAAAGCAUGGGGAGCGAACAGGAUUAGAUACCCUGGUAGUCCAUGCCGUAAACGUUGGGAACUAGAUGUAGGGACCAUUCCACGGUUUCUGUGUCGCAGCUAACGCAUUAAGUUCCCCGCCGUGGGGAGUACGGCCGCGAGGCUAAAACUUAAAUGAAGUUGAGG